GUCUGGUCAUAUCACCCUGAAUGUGCUUGAUCUCAGAAGUUAAUCAGGGUUCUGGUUAGUAUUUAAACGGGAGACUGCCUGGUAAUACUGAAUGCUAUAGGCU
ensembl:rRNA 5S_rRNA 5S ribosomal RNA